rnacentral:lncRNA from 1 species
AAGGAAUGAUGGAAAGAAGAAAAGCAGCAAAGAAGGAAAUAAAAUUUUAUUUUGGACUGAAGAAAAGGAGAAAUAUAUAAGGUGAUGCAUGAGGAAAGGUCAGGAUAGAAAUAGGAGAAUGGAGUAUGGGAUUGGAGCCAGACAUUACUAGAUAGACCAGCAUCAUGAACCCAUAUUCAAAGUGGAUGAGGAGAGGAACUUUCAGGUAAGGAUGAACAGCUAUUCCUGUGGGGAACUUUGUGAGAUGUGACAAUACUUUGUGAAAGAUGCGACAUGUCUUGGUUUAUCUUUAAUUCCAGGAUGGCAAAGAAACAUGGCACGCCUUCAGCACUAUGAAUAUCCACAGAAACAUAGCCCUGUAUUCCUACUUGGAAGGUUCGUGACUUUGGGGAGAAUUGAAAACAUGCUCUUGACUUGGGCAUCAUCUGAGUCAUGCAACUCGUACAAUAAGAAAUCUUCCCAAAUCUCCAUCUUCUCAGAGAAGCGCUGGGGGAAAAUAGCUGCCGUCAUGUGUAUGCACACACUCCAGGAAAGGCAAAGGGUUCUUCCGAUGCUGAGACAAUGGGAGGCUGACAUUCAUGCUUUCAUGUUUCUCCAUGAGGUGGAAAUCAGGUACUUAGAGGCUGUCAUUGGGAACAUAGCCCUCGUCCUGGAGUCUCAGUCUGACAGAGCCCUAGGCAGCAGGGGGUGGAGGAAGGAGAGAGAGAAGGAGGAGAGAUUGAAGUCAGCUUUACUGACCCUAACUAAACAUUUCAUUUCCUUGACUCUUUCAACCAGAGGAAUUGAAGACUUGCUGGUGGAUCUCAUUAUGAUGUCUGGAUCUACCCUGGAACAGCAGACAAAACUUUCUGAUGCCAAUUAUUUCUCCAUACUUCUCAGUAUCACCCACUCUGAAAUCAAUAUCACUGUGCUCCAUUUAUUCAUAAGUAGGCUUCCUACAGGUCACCUCCAAGUACUUUGAUUACAUUCACAUUUCUUUAAAAAAUUUUAUAUCAUAGAAAUCUUUGUAGCAAUAUCCAAAAUUCAUUUUUCACACCUUCAAUCACAGAGACAUUCAUACAUAUUGAACACAGAAUAAAAAUUUACAAGACAGAAUAACCUUAAUUUCGACACAGUUUGAAAUUCUUUGUUGUUAUAAUGAAGACAUUUUUGCUUGCUGCAGGUAAGCUAUCAGGAAAAGAAAGUCGCUUUUAUUGAAUUCACAUUUUACAAAAACCUAACCUAUCUAAUUCCAUGUAAGAAAAAAAAAUCCUUCAAUGGGGUCAGAUUCAAGAGUGGUUAUAUUUCGCUUGGUUGCACAUUAUUAUGUGAAUAAAAGCAUGUAUUUGCAUUUUAUUUUCUUACUUUAAUGGUAUGAUAUUUAUAACAGUGUAUCAUAAAUCAGCGAAGACUUGCAUUUUUAUUGAGUCUGCCUAUUUACAAAGUUUUCUGUGGAAUACAGUUCCAUAUGUGGUCUAGGACUCAUUAAUCCUCAAGAUGUAUACACCCUACUUUCUCUGUGGACAUGUACAC